GCGCCCGUAGCUCAGUGGAUAGAGCAGCCGCCUUCUAAGCGGUAGGUCGGGGGUUCGAGUCCUCCCGGGCGCGCCA
rnacentral:tRNA from 5 species